rnacentral:lncRNA from 1 species
UUUUAAGAUUUUAACAGCUUUAUAGUUUUUCAGUUACCAUAUCCCAAAAUGUAGCUCCGGUCGUUUCUGCUAUGCUCUUUUUUUUUUUUUUUUCCUUUGGUAUGAAAGUGGCAAUAAAUGAUUCAUGUCUUUUGAAAGUGAAACUAAGAACUAGACCGUCAUUGGAAAAUAACAAACAUUUAUUCUAUUGUCAACUCACUCACAACAACUUUGCAAGGCCAUCAAACAAUCAAAUUUUAACAAUUAUAUUAUGAUAUUCAUUUUCCGGGAACAAAGUUUGUGGCGUAGGCCCAGGCAUUGUUGUUAACCGGAUCUGCUAGAUGGUCAGCAAGGUUCUCCAAUGGACCCUUUCCUGUAACAAUGGCCUGAACAAAGAAUCCAAACAUAGAGAACAUAGCAAGUCUACCGUUCUUGAUCUCCUUUACCUUGAGCUCAGCAAAUGCCUCUGGAUCAUCAGCAAGACCCAAUGGGUCAAAGCUGCCACCGGGAUAGAGUGGGUCGACUACCUCACCAAGAGGCCCACCAGCAAUACGGUAUCCCUCAACGGCUCCCAUCAAGACAACUUGGCAAGCCCAGAUGGCCAAGAUGCUCUGUGCAUGGACCAAACUUGGGUUGCCCAAGUAGUCAAGUCCACCCUCGCUGAAUAUCUGGGAUCCAGCCUUGAACCACACAGCCUCACCAAACUUGACACCAUUACGGGCCAAGAGCUCGGGGAAAACACAUCCAAGAGCACCAAGCAUAGCCCAUCUGCAGUGGAUCACCUCGAGUUCACGGUUCUUGGCAAAGGUUUCUGGGUCUGCUGAAAGUCCAGCGGUGUCCCACCCGUAGUCACCGGGAAAUUCACCGGUCAAGUAGCUUGGAGACUCACCUGAGAAUGGACCCAAGUACUUGACACGGUCUGGCCCAUACCAUGGGCUGCCAGAUGAGGCUGGCUUGGAGACAGCCUUUCUCAUAGAGAUCCUUCCAUUUCCAGUGAUUUCUGAGGCAGAGGGUGAGAGUUUCACUGCCUGUCCAGCAAAAGAAGGUGAAGAAAGUGCCAUUGUAGAAGCUGCCAUGGCUUAUCAAGAGAAAAGUAAGUGUUUGAUGGUAUGAAAUAUUGUUGAAGUUGGCUGUGAUGAGGUGAAGUUAAUUACAAGGGGCUUCACCAUAUAUAGGAGGAGUAAGAGCGGUAGAGGCCUUUAUCUAACGAUAUCUACAUCUUUUUCUUUUGGUGUUAACGAUAUCUGUAUCUGUGAUCUCAUUGGGUAAUAAGAUCACAUGUGUAGAAAUUAAUGCACACUUGGCAAUCUCCAGACUCCAAUCCAUCAAUUUUCCAAGAUGUUUACUAAAAGGACCCAUCCAAUAUUGUCCGCCUUAGUGUGGCUACGAGGUUAUUGACUCUAUUCUGUGAUUCGUUGAGCUUACACUAAGAUAUCUCUUAUCGUUAUCUUUUGGGAAUUUCUCCAGAUUUUAUCCACCAGCUGGGAAUAAGUUACCACCACUAUAGCUCAUUCAAUGUAGAAGUAGAAGUUAGAACUAUGGUUUAGCGUUGCACUAAAUAAAUAGUAGAAAAGCUGAAUUUUUCAGAUUAUCAGUAACUAAUGUCUAUCAAAAGAUUAAUUUGAAGUAAUUGCUUAACAAGCAAAAGUGGAUCAGAAUUUGAACUUUCAUGGGUUCUGUAGUCUAGGACGAGUUCUACUAAAUAGAUUCCAAAUUUAACUUUUCUACAUACUCGCUCCGUCCCAUUUUACCCGUCCCAAAUUGGCUAAGUUGAUGUUUCAUUUUAGUUGUCCCAUUUUACUUAUCAAGAUAAGACAAACUUUUCUUUCCAUGUUUUACCCUUUGCAUUAAUUAUCUUUUCUUUAAAUUAAAAUGUAAACAUCAUUUAAUAGGGGUACUUGGGUAAACUAGCCAUGUUAUAUAUUAUUUUUCUUAAUUGUUGUGCCAUCCUAAUUUGGGACAAGUAAAAUGGGACGGAGAGAGUAUUUAAUAAGCUUAUCAAAACAUAUGCAUGGUUUGGGCCAAAGUUAGUUAGUUCUGUCAAACUGGUUUGCUGAAGGCUAUCUGCGCAUGUUAAUAAGUGAUAUGAUUGUGUUAUGUGCAAGUAUUUUUACAAUGUCAAUGCAUAACCUCUCUAUAGUGUCCUGUAUAGCUUGUAUCUUCUGCUUACAAUGUCCUUUUGGCUCUGGUCAUUGUUAUGUGAACGUGUUCUUCUCUAAAGAGAAUACCACAUGCACGUAAGGAUGGAGGACUAUACAAGAAACUCAUGAAUUUGUUCAAAUCUAAGAUGCUGCUUAAAUUAAGGACACAUAAGUAUAAUGGCCUGGAAACUCAUAUAUUACUUGCUACGUUCAAAAUACAAAACAUAUACAUUGGUUUUCCCCUUAUCAUUAAAAUGUCAAUGGUGUACGCAGUAGUGAAAUAAUAUUAUGUCCUCUUAAUUCAUCUCACUUCUCGACAGGAAAAUAAGGAAUCAUGUAAAUAACAUCAUGUUGUACAUUGUUAAUCGUGGCACUAAGAGUAUUGCUUCUUGAGAAUUAAUUGAAUUCCAUAAGUUCCUCUGGUCUGUAUAUUCAAAUUAUAAGCUUUUUGUCAAAAAACAAAGGGAGCGGUAGAGUUAAGCUACAAGGAGAAAAAUAUAAGGAAAUUGCAGCUGUAAAUUGCUACAAAAAAGACUGCAGUAAAGAACAAGAAGCUGAAACUUUUUGAGUGUUUUCUAUUUUUUGGAUAGUUAUAAAUGUCUAAUGUCAUCCCUUAUUUAUACUUAUGUAGGGAUGAUUCUAGAUACUACAAAUCUAGAGUGUUCGUAUACAAAUAUCUCCCUCAAAUAUCUAGCACCCUCUAGAUCUUUCCUAAAUAUAAAUAUCAAAUAUACUACACUAUUCCUUUCUAGAUUCUUCUAACUAGAAUUACCUAAAUAUCUAGAUAUUUCUUUAGCAUGAUCAUCCUAGAAAUUUUACUAGACUAUUCUACAGACUGAACUAGAAAUCUAUGAUUCCAAAAAAUCUACUUUAAUAUUUUCACACUCCCUCUUAAAGUGAUUUUUUUGGAAGCUAUCCUAAACUUGUUGCGGAAGAACUCAAGUGAAGCUUUGAACCGUACUUUAGUGAAAAUCUUGAUAGUUUUUGCAUGACUCCUCUUUCUUCUUCAAAUGAUGAAGAUUUCUCGUUAAUGAUUGGCCCUUGUUGAGUUUUAUCAUAUUGAGUUCUCGAGCUCCCCCUUUCUCUGAACUCCUCCGUAACUUCAUUAUCUGGUGACCCAAAUAUGAUGGAAAAGUUUGAAACUCUAGGAUUGAAGAUUUUAGAACUUACUCUUUCUGAAGCAACUCCAUAACACAAGAAUAAUUUUUUGGUAUCAACCUCCUUAUUUGAUUUGAUGACGAUCUUUUGUUCGGGCCUAUCAACUAGCUCCCAAGUAUUAUUUUUUUAUCAUGGCAAGCUCCUCAUCCAUUGCGGAAAUCCAAGUUUCAUGACUUCUGCUUCUUCAAAAGAAGAUGGUUCCACAAGAGCAAAAUUGCAUUGCUCAUAAACUUCAGGUAGUGACCUGGUCUUCAAAAUAGGAGAAUCUGAAGUUAAUUCAACAUCUGAAUUGUCUUCUUUUUCAAUAAGAGGAUUGGAAGAAAUAUUACACGUCUGUGGAUUUUGAGCUGCAACUGAAGUACACUCAUCUUGGUUCUUUACAACAAUAUCUCGAUCCUAAUCAUAGUGGCUAGACUCAUCCACCGCAAGAUCUCUACUGAUAAGCACCUUUUACGCACGAACAUUAUACACUUUCUACCCUUUUGCAGCUGUGUUAUAGCCCAACAAAAUACAAAGUCCUGCCUUGUUAUCCAAUUUACCUCUUUUAGCAUCAGGAACAUAUGCAUAACAGACUGAACCAAAAACUUUUAAGUGUCUCACAGAUGACUUUAUACCUUUCCAUGCUUUAAAUGGUGUCAUGUCUUGGAGUGCUCUAGUUGGUAAUAUGUUUAGUAAAUAGACUGCAGUACUGACUGCCUCAGCCCAAAAACAUUUGGGUAUCUUCUUUUCUGCUAGCAUACAUCUCACCAUCUCCAUCACGGUUCUGUUCUUUCUCUCAGAAAUACUGUUUUGUUCUGGAGUGUAGCUCACAGUAAAUUGUUGUUGAAUGCCCACAUCUUUACAAUACUUGUUGAACUAAUGCGGAGUAUAUUCAGUUUCAUUAUCUGACCUGAUAUACUUCAAUCGGCAACCACUCUUCCUUUCUACCAUAGCCUUGAAUUCUUUGAAAACAGAAAACACCUGAACUUUGUUACUUAAAAAUAGACCUAUGUCAUUCGAGUUAGAUCAUUUAUAAAGAGAAUAAAAUAUUUAUUCCCACUCAAAGAAGUUGUCCUCAUUGGUCUACAUAUAUUUGUAUGAACCAACUCUAGUUUUUCCUUCGUCCUCCAAAGACUUCUUUUAGGAAAGAAUUAUUUAUGCAAUUUACCAAAUUGACAUGACUCACAAACAUCUCGGCACAUGUCAAUUUUGGGUACAUCAAGCACCAUACCCUUGGAUUGCAUAUACACCAAUGAACUAAGAUUGUAAUGACCGAAUCUUUUGUGCCAAAGCCAAAUAUCAAUUAUUUCAACAUUGAAAGAGCAACUUUCAACAGAAUAGCAUGAAAUUGGAAAGGAAUUACCAAUCAUGCUAAUUUUAGCUACUUCACAACCUUUAGGAUCAUAAAUGACACAUUUUUUAUCCUUAAAAAUAAGUGAAUAAUUAUUGUGAAGUAACUGAGCAACACUCAACAAGUUUUGAGUCAAGCUUGGCACAUAAAAAACAUCGUUUAUGAUUUUCAUACCUUCGUCCGUAGGAAAUUUCACUGAUCCUCUUCCUUGAGCUUGCACCAGUGCACCAUCUCCUAGCUUCACUUUGAUCCUAUCAGACCUGUCCAGGCUAACAAAUAGAUUUUCAACAAUCGUCAUGUGCCUUGUGCACGCACUAUCGACAUGCCAAUUAUAUCGAUCGACAUGUGAUAUGUGUGAAGCCAUGAAUACCUCUUCCUCUAUUUUUUGAACUUGGUGAUCUUCCGCAAAAUUUACUCAUUGAAAAGACUGACCAAUUUGAGUUUGCUUUUGCCUGCAAUGCUUCUCAAUGUGCCUAUACUUCUUGCAGUAUCUGCAUUGAAUAGGAGACCUCUUGGACUUCUGCCAACAAUUUUUCUAUAAGUGGUUUGUCUUCUUACAAAUACCACAAGGUGGAAAUUUUUCUCUCCUCAACGAUUCACCUUGGUAUCCACCAGAUUUCACCUCUCCAGAGUGGUCUAAAAAGACUUUUUUGCCUUCUUUUUGUUGCUUGAAAGGCAUAUUCGACUGUUCCUUCGAUUCUCAUAGUUACCCAUUGCUCUUGGAUUUGCAAUUUAGAGAUCAACUCAGCUAUUGAAAGAAUAGUCAAGUCACAGGACUCUUUAAUAGCUGAGAAUUUGUAUUUAAACUUGUCUGGAAAGCUGACCAUAAUCCCCUUUAUAACCUUCUAAUCUAAAAAGUUUUCACCAAGUAUCCUUAUGUGGUUCACAAUAUCCAUUAGCUUAGAAGAGUAUUCUUUUACACUAUCCGGAUCCUUCAUCUUCAAGAGCUCAAACUCCCUCUUCAAAGCUAAAACCUUAACAGACUUAACUCUGUUGCUGCCUUCAAACUCCUUCUUUAGCUUAUCUCAGGCUUCUUUAGCUGUCUCACAAGCCAUAAUCCUUGUAAAUAUCACUUCCGUAAGGGUUGAAUGUAUGCAAGUGAGUGCUCUUGGAGAUCUAGUCACCAAUUCAUCAUACUUUUUGAUAUCAUUUAGAGUUGAGUUGUCUCUCAAUGGCUGGACAGCAGGUUCUCCUCUCUAAACAAUAUCCCACAAGUUGAGAGUCUUCAAAUAAGCCUUCAUUUUAAUGGUCCAAAUAUGAUAAUUCUCCCCCGAAAAAAUCGAAGGACCCAUUGUUGGUUGAUUUUCUGGUGCCAUGUUUUUUCAGUAAAUAGAUUCAAGAAAGGAGCUAAAAAUAAGAUGAGUCAAUCAACAAAAAACAUAUUCAGAUCCCGUAAGAAAUGGGCUCUGAUACCAUGUCAAAAAAUAAAGGAAACGGGGAGAGUAAAGCUACAAGGAGAAAAAUAUAAGGAAAUUGCAACUGCAAAUUGCUACAAAAAAGACUGCAGUGAAGAAGGAGAAGCUGAAACUUUUUUAGUGUUUUCUAUUUUCUAGAUAGUUAUAAAUGUCGAAUGUAAACCCUUAUUUAUUCUUAUGUAGGGACGAUUCUAGAUACUACUCCCUCCAUCCCAUUUUACCCGUCCCAAAUUGGGAUGGCACAGCUAUUAAGAAAACAAUGAUUGGUAAUGUUACUUUACCAUUUUUUCUCUCUUAAUUGUGUCUUGUUGUUAGUUCCAAUAUUGAUGGAUGACCAAUACAAAAGCACCAUUUAUAUUCUUAAUGGUGUACUCCUAAUGGUACUCUUCUUUGCAACGUUUUUCAAAAAUGUUAAUAACAAGGAGUAAGCAAUUACACUGAGGAUAAAAUGAAAAAAAAAGUUGUCUUAUCUUGAUAAGUAAAAAAGGACAACUAAAAUGGGACAUCAAAUUAGAAAAUUUGGGACGGGUAAAAUGGGACAGGGAGUACAAAUCUAGAGUGUUCUUAUACAAAUAUCUUCCUCAAAUAUCUAGCCCCCUCUAGAUUUUUCCUAAAUAUAAAUAUCAAAUAGACUACACUCUUCCUUUCUAGAUUCUUCUAACUAGAAUUACCUAAAUAUCUAGAUAUUUCUUCAACAUGAUUAUCCUACAAAUUUCACUAGACUAUUCUAGAGACUUAACUAGAAAUCUAUGAUUCCAAAAAAUCUACUUUAAUACCAUCACACUUUUACCACAUCCAAAAUGUAUCUUGGGUUUUUUUUUUUUUUGGCUUUGUCAUCGAUUUUUCUCCCCUUGAUAUGAAACUGGCAGUAUUUAUUCAUGCCAUUGGAAAAUGAAAUUCAGGACUACACAAUAACUGGAAUAUAAGAAAAAUCCAUUCUAUUGUCAAGUAAACUCACAACUACAACUUUACAAGGGCAUCAAACAAUGAAAUUUUAAGAUUGUUUUACGAUAUUCAUUUUCCGGGGACAAAGUUUGUGGCGUAGGCCCAUGCGUUGUUGUUAACUGGAUCUGCAAGGUGGUCAGCGAGGUUCUCCAAUGGACCCUUUCCGGUAACAAUGGCCUGAACAAAGAAUCCAAACAUAGAGAACAUAGCAAGUCUACCGUUCUUGAUCUCCUUUACCUUGAGCUCAGCAAAUGCCUCUGGAUCAUCAGCAAGACCUAAUGGGUCAAAGCUGCCACCAGGGUACAAUGGGUCGACUACCUCACCAAGAGGCCCACCAGCAAUACGGUAACCUUCAACGGCUCCCAUCAAGACAACUUGGCAAGCCCAGAUGGCCAAGAUGCUCUGUGCAUGAACUAAGCUUGGGUUGCCCAAGUAGUCAAGUCCACCCUCGCUGAAGAUUUGGGAUCCAGCCUUGAACCACACAGCCUCACCAAACUGGACACCGUUACGGGCCAAGAGCUCGGGGAAAACACAUCCAAGAGCACCAAGCAUAGCCCAUCUGCAGUGGAUCACCUCGAGUUCUCGGUUCUUGGCAAAGGUUUCUGGAUCUGCUGAAAGUCCAGCGGUGUCCCACCCGUAGUCACCAGGGAAUUCGCCGGUCAAGUAGCUUGGGGGCUCACCCGAGAAUGGGCCCAAGUACUUAACACGGUCUGGGCCAUACCAUGGGCUUCCAGAUAGGGCAGGCUUGGAGACAGCCUUUCUCAUAGAGAUCCUUCCAUUUCCACUGAUUUCUGAGUUAGAGGGUGAAAGUUUCACUGCCUGUCCGGCAAAAGAAGGGGAAGAAAGAGCCAUUGUAGAAGCUGCCAUGGUUUAUCUCAAGAGAAAGGAGAGUAUUUGCUGGUUUGAAAUAUUGUUGAAGUUGGCUGUGAUGAGAUGAAGUUACAAGGGGCCUCACUUUACCAUAUUAUAGCAAGUAAGAGGGGAAGAGUCCUUAUCUAGUGAUAUCUAUUUCUAUGAUCUCAUUGGGUAUCAAGAUCCUUUGUCUAGCAAUUAAUGCACACUUGGGUAUCUCCAAUCCAUCAAUUAUCCAAGAUGUUUGCUAAGGGGACCCAUCCAACAUAGUCCUCUCACAUGUGGCUACAAGGCUUGAACAAUAUUCUGUGAUUUGCUGAACUUACAAUGCUGAUAUCUCUUAUCAUAAUCCGUUGAGAAUUGCUCCAGAUUUUAUUUAUCAGCACUACAGCUCAUUCGAGGUAGAACUAUGGUUUACCGUUUCACUAAUUAUAUUCAGGAAAGUUCAUUACUUGAUAUAUAAAUUGUGUAAAAAUUAAUAAUACAUGUUUGGAACUUUAUUAUAUAAGACCUUAAUAUAUAGUAAUAUAAGAGUCAGUAGCAUAGUAAAUUAUUUAACCUGCAAUUCAUAUAAAAGUGAAGAUACUGUUUUGGGGGUUUUACAAAUUUAAUAUUUACAGGUGCAUGCAAAGCAAGAAUAUGAUCUUCCCUUUCAAAACAUUUAACAUAGGUUCAUGCUUGGAUCUUUAUUAAUCUGAUCAUGAAGAGGUAUAUUAAGUUCUAUAUAUGUUGCACUGUUAAUUUCAUGUUUAGAUAUUUAAUGACGGGUUAGAUUCAUUUUAACUACUGCACAGUGCUUAGACUAAUUGGAAAGAACUUGUUCAUGAGCGGGGGUUGGCAAACGGGCGGGUUGACUCAGAUAUAAACAAAUCAAAAAUGAGCCAACAAAAAUGGAUAAAAUAUCCGACCCACCUGUAUUUGAUAUGGAUGAAAAAUGAGAAACCAACGGGAUAUUAUUUCAUAUUAUGUAAAAGAAAUAAGUACUUCCAAUAUGAGAAAGGCAGAGUAUGUACAUGGAUUAAUUAAUUAAUUGGGAUUCACCAGCAGCACAAUAUGACCAAUUAAUUGUGUUAAGGGCAGGAACAUUUGCCAAUAAUGGAUCAGGUUAUUUACGGGUUUGGAUAAAAGGAACUUUAACUUGACACCAAAUUAUAACUAUGUGCUUUUAACUUUGUUAGUACACAAGUAGACCCUUUAACUAUAUAAAAAUCAAAUAAAAAAAUAGUCUAAUUCAGCAACUUACAUGCGUAAAAUUCAAUCACUCCUACGUGGAUUAAUAAUCCACUCAGAUGCUGCCACCUAAUAAAAAAGACGCAUUAUAACUAUGAUCAUUAACUUUGCGCACAAAUAGACGCUUUAAUUAUACAAAAGCUGAAAAAAAAAACACUUCAAUUUUAACUCUGACGCUCGUGAUUUUGAGUGUAUACAUGCAUUUUGCCAGGUUACGAUUGGAGUGUUUGUUUGUUCAACUUUUGUAUUGUUAAAGGCCUACUUGUACAUUGAUAAAGUUAAAGAUCAUAGUUAUAAUUUGAUAUCAAGUUACAUGUUUAUGUACUGAGUUUAAGUUCUGUGCACCGUCAGUGCACAAAAUAUUUUAUACUAUCAGUUAACUUGACCUGCUAUUGCAGGUUACCCAAUUAUUUAUAUAAAAAUUUAAAAAUAAAAAAUUGUUAUUGCAGGUUACCCAAUUAUUUAUAUAAAAAUUUAAAAAUAAAAAAUUAGAUAACCUGCAAUAGCAAGUCAAGUUUACCUAAUAGGAUAGAAUAUUUUGUACACUGAUGGUGCACAAAACUUAAAAAUUUAGGUAUUAUGCCUAUUUACAACUUAUGGAGUAAAUAUAAGUUGUAAAUAUUCUCUUUUUUCACACAGUAAUUUUUAACUUGUAAUAGCUGAUAAGUCCCCGUUGUUACAAGAAACUUUAAGAUUUUUUCCAAAGAUGCAUCAAAUUAAGGACAUAAUUAUAAUGGUCUGGAAACCUAUAUUAUAGCAUGUUGAUUACUACUUGCUAUACCUUCAGACUACAAAACAUAUUGGUUUUCACUUAACAUUGAAAUGCCAAUGGUCUAUAUGGUAGUGAAAUAAUAUUAUGUCCUCUUAAUUGCUCUUUCACUUCCCGAUAGGAAUCACGUAACAACAUCUAUGCUCAACAUUUCUCUGUGCACUAUUCUCUGUGCACUAAUUUAAUGUGUUCCUUCCUGGGAAUUAAUUGAAUUCCAUAACUUCCUGUGGUCAGUAAACUUAAGUUUGAAGCUUAUAACAGCUUUAUAGUUAUUCUAGUUACCACGUCUCAUAUUAAUCUACAGUUUUUCUUUACUAUGUUCUCUUUCUUUAAUUCCCCUUUAGUAUGAAAGUGGCAAAAAAUUUUAUUCAUGACUUUGGAGAAUGUAACUCAGAACUACACAAUUAUUGGAAUAUGAGACAAAAAUCCAUUCUAUUGUCAAGUAACUGCUCAUAACAACUUUACAAGACCAUCAAACAAUGAAAUUUUAAGAUUGUUUUACGAUAUUCAUUUUCCGGGAACAAAGUUUGUGGCGUAGGCCCAGGCAUUGUUGUUAACCGGAUCUGCUAGGUGGUCAGCAAGGUUCUCCAAUGGACCCUUUCCUGUAACAAUGGCCUGAACAAAGAAUCCAAACAUAGAGAACAUAGCAAGUCUACCGUUCUUGAUCUCCUUUACCUUGAGCUCAGCAAAUGCCUCUGGAUCAUCAGCAAGACCCAAUGGGUCAAAGCUGCCACCAGGGUAUAGUGGGUCGACUACCUCACCAAGAGGCCCACCAGCAAUACGGUAUCCCUCAACGGCUCCCAUCAAGACAACUUGGCAAGCCCAGAUGGCCAAGAUGCUCUGUGCAUGGACCAAACUUGGGUUGCCCAAGUAGUCAAGUCCACCCUCGCUGAAUAUCUGGGAUCCAGCCUUGAACCACACAGCCUCACCAAACUUGACACCAUUACGGGCCAAGAGCUCGGGGAAAACACAUCCAAGAGCACCAAGCAUAGCCCAUCUGCAGUGGAUCACCUCGAGUUCACGGUUCUUGGCAAAGGUUUCUGGGUCUGCUGAAAGUCCAGCGGUGUCCCAACCAUAGUCACCAGGGAAUUCACCGGUCAAGUAGCUUGGGGGCUCACCAGAGAGUGGGCCCAAGUACUUAACACGGUCUGGGCCAUACCAUGGGCUGCCAGAUGAGGCAGGCUUGGCAACAGCCUUUCUCAUAGAGAUCCUUCCAUUUCCAGUGAUUUCUGAGGCAGAUGGUGAGAGCUUCACUGCCUGUCCGGCAAAAGAAGGGGAAGAAAGAGCCAUUGUAGAAGCUGCCAUGGCUUAUCUCAAGAGAAAGGUAAGUGUUUGAUGGUAUGAAAUAUUGUUGAAGUUGGCUGUGAUGAGAUGAAGUUACAAGGGGCCUCACUUCACCAUAUUAUAGUAAGUAAGAGGGGAAGAGUCCUUAUCUAGUGAUAUCUAUUUCUAUGAUCUCAUUGGGUAUCAAGAUCCUAUGUGUAGCAAUUAAUGCAUACUUGGGUAUUUCCAAUCCAUCAAUUUUCCAAGAUGUUUGCUAAAGGGACCCAUCCAACAUAGUCCUCUCACAUGUGGCUACAAGGAUUGAACAAUAUUCUGUGAUUUGCUGAACUUACAAUGCUGAUAUCUCUUAUCAUUAUCCGUUGGGAAUUUCUCCAGAUUUCAUUUAUCAGCACUACAGCUCAUUCGAUGUAGAACUAUGGUUUACCGUUUCACUAAAUAUAUUCAGGAAAGUUCAUUACUUGAUAUAUAAAUUGUGCGGAAAUAAAUAAUACAUGCUUAUGUUUGGAAAGAAAUGCGUUUGGAACUUAAUUAUAUAAGACCUGAAUAUAUAUAAGCAAGAGUCAGUAGCAUAGUAAUUAUUUACCUGCAAUUCAUAUAAAAGUGAAGAUACUGUUUUUUGGGGUUUUACAAAUUUAAGAUUGACAAGUGCAGGCAAUGAAAGAAUAUGAUCUUCCUUUUCAAAAUAUUUAACAUAGGUUCAUGCAUGUAUAUUUAUUAAUCUGAUCGUGAAGAGGUAUAUAAAGUUCUAAAUAUGUUGCACUGUUAAUUUCAUGUUUAGAUAUUUAACGACGGGUUAGAUUCAUUUUAACUACUGCACAAUGCUUAGACUAAUUGGAAACGCGCAGAUUGAGUCGGAUAUGGACAGAUCAAAAAUGAGCUAGUGAAAAUGGAUAAAAUAUCUAAUUCACCCGUAUUGAUAUGGAUGAAACAUGAGAAACCAACGGAUAAUAUGGAUAUUAGUUCAUAUUAUGUAAAAGAAUAAGUACCUCCAAUAUGAGAAAGGCAGAGUAUGUACAUGGAUUAACUAAUUAAUUGGGAUUCAUCAGCAUCACAAUAUGACCAAUUAACUUUACGAGAAUUGUGUUAAGGGCAAGAGCAUUUGCCAAUGAUGGAUCAAGUUAUUUACAUCUUAUGCCUUAUGGUGUAAAUAUAAGUUGUAUAUAUUUUCUUUUUGGCAUGAUACACAAAUAUGAUCCUAAACUUAUAUCAAAUUAUAACUUUGACCUUAAACUUUGAUAGUGCACAAAUAGGACCUUUAACUAUUCAAAAUUUGAACAAAUAUGACCUCCGAUUUUGCAACCUCCAUGCGCGAGUUUCACUCGCGCCUAUGUGGAAAGCUCAUCAAUCACACGGUGCCACGUCGUUAAAAGGGCUGACUUGGAGGGAGGUCAUAUUUGUGCAAUUUUGAAUAGUUAAAGAUCAUAUUUGUGCACUGUCAAAGUUUUGCUUUUUGUGUUAAAACAACGUUGUUUUAUUAUUAUUAUUAUUAUUAUUAUUAUUAUUAUUAUUAUUAUUAUUAUGAAUAUUACUAUUUAUUUUUUUAAUUUUAUUUAUUUAUUUCUAUAGCAGCUAGGGGUGGGCGUUCGGUAUUCGAUAUUCGGUUCGGUAUUUUCAAAUUUCGGAUUCGAUAAUUUGGUAAUUGGUAUUUGAACGUAGAUACCAUAUACCAUACUAAUAAAUAUCGAUUCGGUAAUCGAUAAAUUAAAUUUCGGUUCAGUACGGUAUUUGGUAAUACCAUAUUAAAAUUGAAGAUGUGCAAAUAUACAUUUAAACUUCAAAGAGUAUAUUUAAAAGAAACCCUAUUUAGCAUUAUUUUGUUGCUUUUUACGAAUAUAUUAUCAAGGUCUAAGAGAUUCUUUGAGAUGACUAAUACUAUUGUUUAUUGGGUUGGUUAGACAUAUAGUAUAUAUAUAUAUAUAUAUAUAUAUAUAUAUAAUUCGGUAUUCGGUAUUUACCGAAUACAAAACGGUAUUAAUAUCUUGUACCAAAUUCAAUCCCGAAAUAUUAAAAUUUUAUUCUCAAAUACCAUACCAAAUACAAAAUUUUUUGAUUCGGUUCGGUAAUUCGAUUUUCGGUAUUUUAUGCCUAGCCCUAAUAGUAACAACACCUAACUUUUUUUAAUUAAAAAAAAAAAACCACUAGCAGGGAUCGACCCCACGCAGUAGGUUGAAGGAAGCACCCAAGAAGAGCAAAUAACACCACUGGAUUAUCUAAGUGCAAUGUUUCAUGUGGUUCAACAUUAAUAUACGUACAUAAAUAUAGAUUAUCUACCUUAUAUAUACAACAUAAUUUUUUUACCGAGGGGGUUCGGGUGAAUCCCAUGGCGACCACGUAGGUCCGCCCCUGCGUUAAUUUAAUAACGUUAAUUUAAUAACAUUUUAAUAACGUUAAUUUAAUAUACUACUAUUAUUAUCUUUAAUAACGUUAAUUUAAUAACAUUUUAUUAAAACUAUAAUUUUUUUAUUAUUAGUAUAGUUUCAUCUUUAAUUUAAUAUUUAAAUAAAUUAUAUUUCGAUAUAUUAUAUAACAUAAAUUCUCCCUCUGCUUUAUAAUAUGUAUAUAUACCCGCAAUUUUUUCGUAUGAGGCUAACCCACUUAAUUAAUAAAUCUUCAAUAUUGCACUUUUUCCGCAAUGACAAAAGAAAUUGAAUGUCAUUUUCAUCUUUGAGCUGAAAAUAAUGAAAAAUAAUAGUGAAAAGUCAUUUAAAGAUUAUAUUUGUGCAGUUUUGAAUAGUUAAAAGCCACAUUUAUGCACUCUCAAAAUUUAAGGUCAAAGUUAUAAUUUGGUGUCAAGUUUAGAAUCACAUUUAUGUAUUAUGUCCUUAGAUUUUAAACAGGACGCGCCCAAUUUUGCAUGUUGAACACGCAUUUUACCACAUAGGACCGAAGGUUAUAUUUAUGUAAUUUUAAAUAGUUAAAAAUUAUAUUUUUGCACUAUCAAAAUUUAAGGUUAAAAUUAUAAUUUGAUGUUAAAUUUAAGGCUUUAUGUAUUAUGCCUUUCUUUUUUCACACCAUCAUUAAAUUUUAAGUUGUAAUAGUAGAUAAGUCACCAUUGUUACACGAAACUUUUAGAUUUUUUCCAAAGAUGUUAAUCAAACCAAGGACAUAAUUAUAAUGGCCUGGAAACUUAUAUUAUAGCAUUUUAAUUACUACUUGCUAUACCUUCAGACUACAAAACAUAUUAGUUUUCACUUAUCAUUGAAAUGUCAAUGGUCUAUAUGGUAGUGAAACAACAUUAUGUUCUCUCAAUUGCUCUUUCACUUCUCUACUGGAAACAUAUAAUAACAUCAUAUUGCUCAACAUUUCUCUUUGCACUAAUUUACUGUGUUCCUUCCUGAGAAUUAAUUGAAUUCCACAAGUUGCUGUGGUCAGUAAACCUAAGUUUAAAGCUUAUAACAGCUUUAUAGUUUUUCUAGUUAUCAUAUCUCAUAUGUAUCUACCAUUUUUCUUUACUAUGUUCUCUUUCUUUAAUUCCCCUUUGAGAUGAAAGGGGCAAAAAAUUUUAUUCAUGGCUUUGGAAAAUGUAACUCAGAACUACACAAUUAUUGGAAUAUGAGAAAAAAAUCCAUUCUAUUGUCAAGUGACUGCUCAUAACAACUUUACAAGACCAUUAAACAAUCAAAUUUUAAGAUUUUCAUUUUCCGGGGACAAAGUUUGUGGCGUAGGCCCAGGCGUUGUUGUUAACUGGAUCUGCAAGGUGGUCAGCAAGGUUCUCCAAUGGACCCUUUCCAGUAACAAUGGCUUGAACAAAGAAUCCAAACAUAGAGAACAUAGCAAGUCUACCGUUCUUAAUCUCCUUUACCUUGAGCUCAGCAAAUGCCUCUGGAUCAUCAGCAAGACCUAAUGGGUCGAAGCUGCCACCGGGGUAGAGUGGGUCGACGACUUCACCAAGAGGCCCACCAGCAAUACGGUAUCCCUCAACGGCUCCCAUCAAGACAACUUGACAAGCCCAGAUGGCCAAGAUGCUCUGUGCAUGAACCAAGCUUGGGUUGCCCAAGUAGUCAAGUCCACCCUCGCUGAAGAUCUGGGAUCCAGCCUUGAACCACACAGCCUCACCAAACUGGACACCGUUACGGGCCAAGAGCUCGGGGAAAACACAUCCAAGAGCACCAAGCAUAGCCCAUCUGCAGUGGAUCACCUCGAGUUCCCGGUUCUUGGCAAAGGUUUCAGGGUCUGCUGAAAGUCCAGCGGUAUCCCACCCAUAGUCACCAGGGAAUUCACCAGUCAAGUAGCUUGGGGGCUCACCAGAGAAUGGGCCCAAGUACUUAACACGGUCUGGACCAUACCAUGGGCUGCUAGAUGCGGCUGGCUUGGAGGCAGUCUUUCUCAUGGAGAUCCUUCCAUUUCCAGAGAUUUCUGAGUCAGAUGGUGAGAGCUUCACUGCCUGUCCGGCAAAAGAAGGGGAAGAAAGAGCCAUUGUAGAAGCUGCCAUGGUUUUUCUCAAGAGAAAGGUAAGUGUUUGAUGGUAUGAAAUAUUGUUGAAGUUGGCUGUGAUGAGGUGAAGUUAAUUACAAGGGGCUUCACCAUAUAUAGGAGGAGUAAGAGCGGUAGAGGCCUUUAUCUAACGAUAUCUACAUCUUUUUCUUUUGGUGUUAACGAUAUCUGUAUCUGUGAUCUCAUUGGGUAAUAAGAUCACAUGUGUAGAAAUUAAUGCACACUUGGCAAUCUCCAGACUCCAAUCCAUCAAUUUUCCAAGAUGUUUACUAAAAGGACCCAUCCAAUAUUGUCCGCCUUAGUGUGGCUACGAGGUUAUUGACUCUAUUCUGUGAUUCGUUGAGCUUACACUAAGAUAUCUCUUAAAGAGCCAUAGUAGCAGCUGCCAUGGUUUAUAAAGAGGAAAGUGAGGGGGUUACUAGUUUGAUAUGUCAAAGUUGGUUGUGAUGAGCUGAAGUUUGUUGGGGUUCAGAAUAUAUAGCAAGGAAGAUGGGAAGGGUCCUUAUCUAGUGAUAUCUAUAUCUAUGAUCUCAUUGGCUGCCAAGAUUACUCUUCAUGCACACUUGGCAGUCACAAAUCCAUCAAUCCUCCAAGAUUUUUACAAGGGGGACCAACAAAUGUUGUGUGGCUACAAAGAUUGCUCUCUGUCUUGUGUGUUGUUUGGCUAACAGUAAGACAUCUUCUACUUUUUCAUUGGGUAAUUGUUUAGAUAUUUUUCUGCCGGCAUGGUAAAAGACACCACCAAUUACAGGUAUUUUCAAGUAAUUACAGUUCAAAUUUAUCCCUUCUUAGUGGGAAAUCAAAAGCUGAAAAAGAAAAAGAACCACUUGGUUAGUUCAUUGUCAUGGUUCUGUUUAAAAAAAAAACUGAUAUUAGCUGUGAAAUUUGUCGGUAAUCCAUCACUAAAUUGCUGGUUGCUAUUUAACUAUGGAAUUUCUCUGUUGCUGAUUACUAUUUCUUUUUGUAGCAGUAGGCAUAUAAUUCACAAUUCAUACAGGUGGUCCUGCCUAGGCACACACAAACAUGUGAAAUGCCAAUGCUAUCAAAAUGUGAUCCACCAGCUGAACAGAGAAAUAAGGACCUAGUGCCAUGCCAGCCCAACCAUAUUUAUUCUCUUAUGUUUGGUUACCUAUAGAGGUUUUUUUCUCUUUUAAUACUCCCUCCAUCCCAUUUUAUCAAUCCCAAAUUGGGAUGGCACAGCUAUUAAAAAAAAAAAAGGUAAUGUAACUUUACUAUUUUGUUCCUUUUAAUUAUGUUUUGUUAUUAGUUCUAAUAUUGAUAGAUGACUAAUAACAAGGAGUAAUCAAUUACAUUAAGGGUAUAAUGAGCAAAAAAAAAUUGUUUUGUCUUGAUAAGUAAAAAAGGACAAGUAAAAUGGGACAUCAAAUUAGGAAAUUUGAGACGGAUAAAAUGGGACGGAGAAAGUAUCUUAUAUAUUACUCUAUCUAAAGUAGCUCUAGGGCAAUAUCAAUCCACCACAAUGAAAUGGAGACCAAAGAAAUUUGGAUGAAAUUUGAUUUUUCUCAUCUGGUGAUUCAACUAAUUAUUACUAUUUCAGUAAGUCUGAAAGGAGAAAAAGGUUUGUGUGACAAACCUCAUAGGUAAAACAUUGAGGAUAAGGAAGGGUUGAUUUCUCAAAUAAUCAUCCACUUUCUUUGUUGAAAAAAAUUGGAAUCGAGAAGGCACCUUUCUAAGAUAAUAACUUAUUUUUCACCGUUAUACGUAAACAAAUAAAUACUCUUUCCACAAAACUUCAGCAGUUAUGUUUUCUCCCAGUUCCAUUAUUCAAUAACUCUUAUUAGCAAAUAUAUGAUCCAAGGUAUAAAACAGACACCAGGGAAGUCACUUGCAUUGAUAGAUCAUCAUUCAACCUUCUAAAAUCAAUUUUGGAUGCUUUAAGUUCAUUGAGUAGUAUGAAGUACAAACGCUAGCAUAAAAGAGAAUGUGAAGAAUACUAGAUCAAGUUAAAGCAAUCAAAUAAAAGAUAGCUCAACGCCAAAAUAUUAUUUCAGCACAAAGGGAUUGGAAAGUUAAAGGGCAUAUCAAUUAUUGAACUUUCGAAGAACAUUAGGUGGUUCAAAAUUUUUAAAGGCAUUAGCUGAACAGACUCUUGAAAUCCAAAUGAAGUUGUAAAUUCUAGUGUUGAUCUUUUACACAUAUUAGUUUUACUAAAUGAAUGAUAAAAUUGAACCAAAUCAACCUCAUUUCUAGGGAAUUAAAUAAAAGGAACUUGGUCUUUCCGGUAUUAAAAUUCAACUAUCCACCACUGACAACGGAAUACAACAUAACCAUGGUAACCUCACAAUGCAAUUCCGCAAAUGCUACUGCUGAUUUCAUUUUACUUUUGACCUUCUUUCUAAAUAUGUUUUGUUUCAAAUUAGUUGUCCACUUUCACAAAUCAAGAGUGUUAUAUUACUUCUUUUCCAUAUUAUCCUUAGUAUUAAAUAGCUAAAAAAAAUACUCCUUCCGUUUUGAAUUAGUUGGUCCGUAUGGCGUUGACACCUCCAUUAACAGCCCAAUAAUUAGAAGUGUAUUUUACUCUUUUACUCUUAUUUGCAUUUUAAAGUUCAAUAAUUAAUGCAAUAAUUAAACAUAGAAAUUUGGUGCAAUUACUCCAUUUCAUGCAUGCACCAACUGCUUGUUUGUGAUUGCUUAUUUCCUGCCAAAAGCACUUAUUUUGAGAAAAAAAUAUCUUUUUUAAAAGAAGGGUGUUUGGUAAACCCGCAAAAGUGUUUUUAAAAAUAAGCAGAAACAGUUUUCUAUUUCUGGGAAGAAACAAAAAAAAAAUUACUUUUAAAAAAAACAGAAGUAAAAAAAUAUUUUUUUAUGAUAAAAAUAUUUCCAUCACACACACAUCCCUUGUUAAUUAAUUAACAUAUCUUAUAAAUUUGAUUAAAAUUUAAUUUUAAAAUUUUAUAUUUCAUAUUUACAUCAUAAUUUCUUAUGAUUUAUAUAUUGUUAUUUUAUUUUGACUCAUUUUCUUCAUAUAAAUUUGAAAAUAUUCAUUUUUGUUUGAUAUUUUUAAGUAAUGUUUAAAUUAUUUAAAUAAUAUAUCACUAUUUAAUAUUUUUUAAUGUAUUAAUGUAUAUAAAUAUUCGUUGUAAAUUUUAGAAUAUGUACUUUUUAAUUAAAUAAAUAUAAAACUUUAAUUAAAAAUAUUAUAAUNNNNNNNNNNNNNNNNNNNNNNNNNNNNNNNNNNNNNNNNNNNNNNNNNNNNNNNNNNNNNNNNNNNNNNNNNNNNNNNNNNNNNNNNNNNNNNNNNNNNNNNNNNNNNNNNNNNNNNNNNNNNNNNNNNNNNNNNNNNNNNNNNNNNNNNNNNNNNNNNNNNNNNNNNNNNNNNNNNNNNNNNNNNNNNNNNNNNNNNNNNNNNNNNNNNNNNNNNNNNNNNNNNNNNNNNNNNNNNNNNNNNNNNNNNNNNNNNNNUGUAUUCAUUUUUGUUUGAUGUUUUAAGUAAUGUUUAAAUUAUUUGACCAAUAUAUCACCAUUUAAUUUUUUAAUGUAUUUAUAUAUAUAAAUAUUAAUUAAAAAUUUUAGAGUACAUGCUUUUUAAUUAAAUUUAAAAAGAUUAAUUAAAAAUAUUAUAAUAGAUAUUUAAAAUAAAUUUUCUUUAUAAAUUGAUUUUAGUAAUAAAAGUCAUUUGAUACAUGUCUUUUUUGGUUAUUUGUUUAAAAAAAAAAAAACACUUCUUGAAAAAAACUAUUCAAACACAAUUUGUUUAUCAAAAAAACUUUUCAAAUGAAUUUAUCAAACAAAAAUUAUUAUUUUCAAAAACACUUUUCUGAUCCUGGAUAGGAAGGUGUGGAGGAGGCGAAUUAGGGCAGAAGGUUAGUCUGGGUUAGGAUAUUGUAUGUUUUGAUGUAUACUUGGAGUAUCUUGCUUUAGGUAUUAUUGUGUAUGCUAAUUUCAAUUGCAUCUUGUUCUAUUACUAUUCCUUAUCUUAUCCUAGAUUGCUAUAUUUUAAGUCGGGGGUCUCUUGGAAACAACCUCUCUAUCUCACAAUUGAGGUAGUGGUAUAGACUUCAUACACUUACCCUCCCCAGACCCUACUUGAUGAAAAUAUACUUGUUAUUGUUGUUGUUUCUCAAAUAAACAGUUUUAUAACAGCAAUUUCAAACGGACUCCAAGUCUAGAACCUACAAAUUUAGAAUUGAAACUAUAAUGAUAGUUUUGAAAAUGUAAUAUUAUUUAAUUUCAAUAAUCUUGAAAAAUAAAUAGUAUUGAUUUAUAACUUGCACAAUUAAAAUGGAAUAAAUACUUUUAGCAAGAAGGCCAAUUAAUUCAAAAUGGAGAGUAGUAGUAAUAGUUUGAGCCCGUUUGAAAUUACUGUUACAAAAUUACUUAUUUGAGAAAUACUUUUAUAAAAUAACUUUUCAAAAAAUUACUUUUCGAGAAAAGCAAUUUGUGUUUGGGAAAUUCAUUUGAAAGUACUUUUGAUAAACAAACUGUGUUUGAAUAAUCUUUUUCAAUAAGUGUUUUUUUGGGGAUAAAUGAUCAAAAAGGACAUGCAUCAAUAGAUUUUAUUACUAAAAUUAAUUUAUAGAGAAAAAUUAUUUUAAAUAUCUAUUAUAAUAUUUUUUUAAUUAAAAAAUAUUUUUAUUUGAUUAAAAACUACGUACUCUAAAAUUUUCAAUCAAUAUUUAUAUAUAAAUACAUUAAAAAUACUUAAAAUGAUAUAUACUUAAAUGAUUUAAAUAUUAUUUAAAAAUACCAAAUAAAAAUAAAUAUAAAAAUUAUUCCAUAAAUUAAAUCACUACAUCUGAACAAACUAACGACAAAAAUAAUUAGUCUUUCAUACAUCACAAAAAUUUUAAAUGAUUUUAUUCCUAAUUUUAUCAUGCAAUAUCUCCAUACUAGUAGAAGAUCUGUUUUGUAUUUCUAAAGAUAUAUCAAAAUGCUCAUGUCCUUCUAUGAUCUUUGUGAUGAUGUCUUCGUUAACAUAAUAGUUAAAUUAUUUAUCAAUAAUAGAGCGUUGUCGUAUGAAAUAAAGUAUAGCCAUAGUAGUUGUAACAAGAUAAACUUGAUUGUCGAAUUUAAAAGAUGGCAUUGAACAUAAAAAAAACAAAUUUAUUUUUUCAAGCUCCAAAUAUUCUUUUAGUUGUACAUCUCAAACUGGAGUGAAAGAAAUUGAAAGUCUUAUUUGAAUUUUUGAAGUUAGAGUUACAUCUGAAACCAGGGAGAUGAUAACGGUCCCCUUUAUAUAUGAUCCUAAAUAACUAAUCUUCGUUGAAUAAUUUGAGUCCACUAAAUAAUAUUUAUCUACACUAAAAAAUUAUGAAACCAAUCGUUGUUAGAUAAUUCGAGUCCAUUAAAUAAUAUUUAUCUACACUAAAAAAUUAUGAUGUAAAUAUAAAGUAUAAAAUUUUAAAAUUAAACUUUAAUCAAACUUAUAUAUGUGUGUGUGAUAGGAAUAUUUUUGUCAUGAAAAAAAUAAUUUUCUGUUUCUGUUUUUUUGUAAAACAAAAAUUUUCUGCUUCUUUCCAGAAGCAAAAAAAUUGCUUAUACUUCACUCUACUUUCUAAAAGAAUGUCUUUUUCUCUUAUUUAUAAGAGGCAGUUUAGCAGCUUAAGCAGGCAAGAGGUCGAUAUGCCUGCUUCAGCUGCUUCAAUUAUGAAUUUACAAUAUUAUUCCUAAUUAAUUAUUAUAAGUCAUUUAUGUAUUAAAAAUAAUAAUAUUUAAUAAAAAAAUAAAAUAAAAAUUUAUGACAUGUCUGCUUCAGCUGCUUCAAUCGUAAUUUUACGACAGCACUCCUAAUUAAUUAUUAUAUCCCUAAUUAAAUAUUAUAAGGCAUUUACAUAAUAAAAAAAAUAAUAAUAUUUAAUUAGAAAAAAUAAAAUAGAUAUUUAUGAAAUGUCUGCUUCAGCUACUUCUACCAUAAUUUUACUGUAUCACCCUUAAUUAAUUAUUAUAAGUAAACUAAACAUUAAAAAAUUAAUAAUAUUUAAUAAAAAGGUAAAAUAGACAUAAACUGGAAAUUAACUAUUGAUGUUCUAAAUUAACUUGACGACUUAUAUGAGACUUUCUUAAACUUUUUUCACAGGUAUUUCUUUAAAGUAAUUUUGAUAAAUGGAGUUCAUCAGCUGAAGCAGGCAGCAAAUCGAUAUGUCUGUUUCAGCUGUUUCAAUCGUAAUUUUAUUGUAUCACCACUAAUUAAUUAUUAUAAGUCAUCUGCUUCAAUCGUGAUUUUACUAUAUCACCCAUAGUUAAUUAUUAUAAGUCAUCUAAGUAUUUAAAAAAUUAAUAAUACUUAAAAAAAAAAACAGAUAUAAAAGAUAAUUUUACUAUGUCACUUCUAAUUAGUAGAAUGGAUGAAAAAAUAUUAUAAAUCACAAUAAUUUAAAACUUAAAUUAUUUUUAAAAUAUAAUUGACUAUCAAUGCCACAAAAAAAUGAACAAGGAAAGUAACAUAUAUUAUUUGAAAAUUACAUAAAAAAAUACUAAAAAUUACAAUAGUUAACAACUUAAAAUAUUUAAAACAUAUUAAAAUUAUGAUUAAUUAUAUAAAUUUUAUCUGUAUCACAUAAAUUGAAGCAAAAAAAAAUAAUUUAUGUAUCUAGUUCUUAAAAUAAGUAGUACUAUUGUUUUAGAAAACUAAGCAAUCCCAAACAAACACUUAACCACUCAAAACGUGGUAGUGUGCAAAAAUCGAACCAACCGAUAAAUCGAACCGAUAAAAAUGCUAUUGGGCUAUUGGUAUUGGUUUAUUUGGUUAAUGGGUUUUUAUUGGUUUUAUAAAAAAAUUUAUUGGGUAAACGGUUCGAUUUUGAUUUUAGCUUAUUGGGUUAUCGGUUAAACCGAUAACCUUAACCGAUAACCCAAUAAGGAUUCACUAAAUUAUUAUUUUAUUCCUAUUUAUGUUAUAUACAUAAAUAUCUAAAUUACUUCUAUAUCUAUCUAUCUCUAUAUGCACUAUUUAUUCACAAUUCAGUGAUUCACAAAGUAUUAAGCUAUUCAGUGCAACAAAGGAACAAUAUAAAGCUCGAGUAUUAUCGUAUUAGAAAGCUUGAAGCAUUUAGUAGUUUCCAACAAUUAGGAUUUAGUUUUUUUCCAAACUAACAUUCAGUUCAAGUUUGAAGAUUCUUGUAAAUUAAAAUGCAUUGUAUAGGAUUUUAGUGGUAACUAAGAUUUUAUUUUUUAUGUGAGUUGUUACUAUUUUUAUUUUAUGAGUAUUUUCUUAUUAGUUAAAUAAAAAACAAACUAUUAAGAACCAAAAACUGAUAAAUCGAAACCGAUAAAAACGUAUCUUAUUGGUUGGAUAUUGAUUCAAUUGUCCUCUUCAGCAGUUGGCGCUCUUUUCAUUCCUUUCUCUUCUUUACCCUAACCCUAAAUCCCAAAUUCAAAUUCUGAUUCUGCCAAAAAAAAAACACAGAAGAAAUGCAAAGACCUUCUCCACAUUCCAAUUUCUUCUCUUCUCUCAAACAAUUGGAGAAAAGAUUGAAACUUGAGAACAACCCAUCUCAAAAAGAAGCUAUCAACACACCGACCCAGUCUCUGAUGAGCCCAUUGUACCUCAACUGUGAUGACUCCAUCACCAGCAACACAAACCUCAAAGAAAGCGAAACCCCACUUCGGUUUCUCUCUAAUUCCCCGCUUGACCAAGAAACCCCACCUCACAUAAGUCCUAAACAAGUUCAAGAAAGAGUUGGUGUGGUUGAAGCUGAUGGCGAUGGGGUUGAUGAGAUUCAACUGUUGAUGCAGCUAUUGGGUUUAACGGAUCGUAAAAGGGAGGGAUCCAAGAAGAUGGAAGUGGAAUUUGGUUGUGAUGAUGCAUUUUAUGGAAAGGUUGUUGGGGUUAAGGGACCAAAAAGUGAAAAAGAAGUGGAGAGGUUACAAGGUUGGAUUGAGCAUUUUAUGGAUAGGAAUAGUGGAGAGCGGAGAGAAUCGUUCAGGUUGGCUCAUCUGCUUUUAGGCAAAGCUGC